CAAAAUUUCCCUUUUAUAAGUGGGACUUGUUAAGGCUUUUUUUUAUUUACGUCGUCUGGGGGGUUUAAUUGUGCCUCUUCCCCGUGUUUCUCUUUAACAGUCCUAUUCUUUUGCUGAGAACUGAGCAGAUGUUGCCCUUCUCUGGGAAUGUCUGGUGCCCUGCUUGUCCUUCCCAUUUGAACACCAAAGAAUGCUGUGUGCAGGCACAUGUCUUGAUGACCUGAAGGAGAACUUUGGUAGGCUGAG
rnacentral:lncRNA from 1 species